GAUGAAGAACGUAGCGAAAUGCGAUAAGUAAUGUGAAUUGCAGAAUUCAGUGAAUCAUCGAAUCUUUGAACGCACCUUGCGCUCCCUGGUAUUCCGGGGAGCACGCCUGUUCGAGUGUCGCGAUAUUCUUCAAGCCUUGGAUGGAUUUUUUUUUUGUCUGUCCUUGGGCUUGGUUGUUGGGCUCUGCCGUGUUUUUCAUUGGGACGGCUGGCCUUAAAAGCAUUAGCCGAUCCUCGUGUGGUACUGGUUCUACUCAGCGUGAUAACAAGCUGAUCGUUGAGGACAUCUUCUGGAUGGCCAGUCAUCAUUUGGGUUGCUUCUAAACCGGUUUCGCAGAUUGCUCAAUCUGUGUGCCACUUUUCAGCUUUGACCUCGAAUCAGGUGGGACUACCCGCUGAACUUAAGCAUAUCAAUAAGCGGAGGA
rnacentral:misc_RNA from 1 species